ensembl:lncRNA
UUUGGGAUGUCAGUUGUUCCAUUCCCAGGUUUGCCAGCAGACAGGGAGUCACAGAAUCACAGAAUAUUCUGCAUUAGAAGGGACCCACAAAGACUGUAAACCACUCAUUCCCAAAUCCUGAGCCCUAAUUUUCAGCACAGAGAUGUUCAUGUCAAGUCUGUGAGUUCAGAGUAUUGACAGCACAAAGUGUGAUCACAGAUUGAUCAAAUUUCAGCCACCUUAUCACAGUGAAAUAUCCACUAUAAGUAAUUGCCAAUAGCCAUGUAAAUCAAACCAAAAUGAGUCUUAAAGGAAGGUUCAUGUACAGCAGAUAUGAAAGAACUUCCUGAUUAUUCCAAAUCCUGUUUUAAUUAGCACUUACUCCGAGUCUGCCUUUAUUUUUCUUUUUCAUCUCCUGCCUCUCAUUCGACACCUCUACCAUGAUCACAGUAGUACUUACUAUGAAUGGGAAACACACACAAAAAAAAAAAAAAAACAAAAACAAAACAAAAAAAAACCCCACAUCUCCAAUACUCUCUCUGUUUAAGGAGAUUCUGCUGAUUCACUUUGGCACCUUUGUCCUGUAACCCAUUUUCUUUUCACUUCAUUUCAACCCCAUAUCAUGAUUCUAGCAGAAACCCUAACUCGGGACAGAAUUUCAGGAGAACAACUCAGCUUCUCCUCUCCGCAGCAUAUUUCCCUAUCAAACACCACUGCUUGGCUGCUAAGUGCCUCCAAAAUCAGCCUGAUGCCGAAGCUUUUCAAUGAUGAUGAAACACAAAAGUAGGGCAAACAAGGAGAGGAAAUUUUUCAAAUGUAUUCAUGAUUGCCCUGAAUCCUGAUCCACUGCAGUCAGAAUGAAAACAGGCAUUGCUUCCACUGGAUGCAGUUGCAUUUGUUUUCUUCAUGAUUUCCCCACUUGCAGAUUAUUUUUAAUUAUGCAAAGCAUCUUGUUAAGUGCUGAAUUACAGGUGAGACAACCUUCACUCACUCAGUUUGCUCAGGGUCUAUAUUAUAGGAGGGAGAGAAUAAAUUCGGCUCCAAGGCUUCUAGCUGGCCAAGUAUGCUCUGUGGAAUGAAAAAAAUCAACAUCUGCUGCAAAAUGGGAGAUUUAAAUUUUACUUGAAAUACAGGAGCAUAUUUAUUCACAUCUUUCUCUUUCCACGAGCUUUCUGUCAGUACACAAUUACAUUGUCAAAUCUGUAUGCAAAUAGACACAAGGUACACACAACCUGGGCGACACAACAGCUGCUCCACAUUUGCAGUCAAACUGUGCUGAAGUUAUAUUGGCUGCUACAGCCAUCAAUAUUUUUUCCAAUAGAAUUUCUGCCUUGUUUGAUCCCAAAUAAGCACCUAAAGUGCACUUUCGAAAUUAUGUCAAGGGGAAAGCUCUCUUUGUUCAAUAUUUUGUCUCAUGUCCUCACAACCACAUUGACUCUGGAAUUCAAACCAGCCUGCAGCAAGGUGCCACAGUUUAGCCCAGUCAAAGCUGUCAAUUUUCCAAAGGUGGGAAAAGCUUUUAUCCACACAGGGUUAUGGGGAUGAAAGGGGAAACAGUGCUUUGAGCUUCCCCUUGGUGACCUCACAGCCAGGGAGGGAGACAGGAACCCAACCAUCCAAGGGACAAACACUUUCCCCCCAGGCCUGGACUUUCCAAACCACUGCUAAGGAAGGGAACACCUUGGAGGAGUUGCAAAUGUGUCUAACAGUAAGGUAACAGGCCUGAGACCUCUGGAGUUUUUAUCCUUUCUUGAAACUAAUCAGAUUUUAUUUUUCCUGGCACAGCUCUAUGGAAGUCACCCCAGGGAAGGGUUUGGACUGUUGGCUAAUCAAGCUUUUAAUAUUAAAUUGUAUUUUUGCCUUUGAAAUUGCCAUUAGAGAUGCCACAAUAAAGGGUGAAGACUGAGAAUGUGUCAAGACAAGUCUUAACAAAUCUUUUGUUUCCCUACCCCAAGUUCUGUUAAAGACAAAGCUAUCAUGAGUAAGAUUUGAAAAUUUGUUAUCUAUGUGAAUGUUGGGGAUUUUUUCCAGUUAUACUGCAAAAUGUUGCCAUUUUGUGGCCUGACAGAUCUUCCCCUCACUGAACCACUGCAGACCAGGAGGAACCCCUGGCCUGGAGAUCAAAACCCAUUAACUUCCUACUCCAUAUUCACAGGGGGAAAAGUCUUCUGAGUGGUGGCCACAUUCAGUAACUUGUCAUGCCAAAGACACAGCUUUGAUACAGCUGUCAAAGAAUCACUUUUCCUGAUGGCUGCUUUGCGUGGCUCCUGGGAUAUCUGUACUUCUGUAAUGAUCAAAAUAAUUAUAAAAACAAUAAUUUAAGACAAACAGCAAAAAUAUUAAAAGCACAUGUGUGUGUUUGGGGAUGUGUGUAGCAGGAGAUCACAGUCUGGAUCCAGCACUAGGGACUGUUUCUCAUCCCACAAUCCAAGAUAAUACACAUUUCAGAGCCCCUGUUGUAAGUAUUUAAUGACUAACAUUAAAGGAAAAUAAACCUUUCCAAUCAAUUGUGAAAGUAAAACCAUCAGUGAAACUGCUACAGAAAUGAAAGCAGAGCUAGCAGAAAAUUAAAAACAGCAACCCAAGAAUACCUGUCCUAAUUAAAUGUUAGCUAUUAAAUAUGUGAAUUAAAAUAGGAAUGACAUUUGAAUUAAUAAAAGAGCAACAAAAUGUUUCAGGAACUGUUUUUCCUUGACUGAUGGUGUAAUUUCCUGAGCUCCAUAGCAUGUCUGACCGGCUUUGCAUGGACACUUUGUAGGCUCAUGCAGCAUUUUUAGGAACUGACUGACCUUGUCUAUUCAGGGAGUCCAACCAAGCCACAUCUAUGGCUUGGGUAGUCAAAAAAUGAACCAUGAAUUUUUUUAGGCUCUGAGUAAAUGCACAAAAUUAAUUGCAAGAAAGCUAAAAGGUAGUGAAAAGCCCACCGUGCUCAGGAGAGAAAGACAACCUUGAAAUGCAUCCAGAAUUUUCCUGUGCUGGGCACAUUUUCCAACACUUCCCUUUGUUCUCAGCAUAGAUACAAAUUGAGUACCACCACAAAGCCCCACAAUACAGCAAGAUAUGGUGACAUUAAAUACAAUGUAAGAGCUAUUUGAGAUUCUUAGAAAAACUAAAAUUAAAGAUAAGGCUUUAAAAUCACACAAUCAAGUUUACAUCAACCAUGCAUUUCCAGAUUUGUAAGGCUUUUUUUUCUAUGAGAUAAACAUUUGACUAGAGAAGGGUUGUAAAUACUGAACUGAAUUGGUUUAUACUGCCACAGCACCUGAGAUUUCUGGCUGCAAGGUGAAAAACAGGUUUAGUAUUUUUUGAAAAUACAGAUUUAUGACAAGCCCUUCUAAGGUGGCUCAGUGGAUAGAAAGGUCCAUUUGAGCCCCCAGUUUCCCUGUGCUGCAUCCCUGCAAGCUCCUUUCUGAAUACACAGCAGGAGCUUCAUGCACCAGUUUUUUCUUUCUUCCCUAGUUUGCUCCACUCCCUGGUACCACAAACCCAUUCUUCUAAAUGGAUCUCUUGGAUCCUGAGUGCCCACCCCGGGCAAGCUCGUGUUUGAGCAGCCCUGCAAGAGGAGAAAUGCAGCCUGAUACUCAUUAAAAGUCUGUUGAUGGGCUCAGCCUCUCCUGCUAUUGAAGAUUCAUCAGUUUCUUUUUCCACAAGAAUGUAUCUGACUGCAGUAUUUGGAAAGUAGAGCAAUAGCACCAAUUAUAUCCUAGCAGAGCGUGUGUCUGCAUACAAAAUUUCUGUUGGGGUGGGAUGGCAUUAAAGUCCCUGGUAGAUUGCCAGAGUUUGGAGAUAUUAAUGCUGAUUCUGACACGGUGACAAAGCCGCGCUGCUGCAGAGGAGGAUGUUUGCACACCCCUGCACCAGGCACAGGGACAGCACAGAGCUCAGGAACCUGCCCCAGAACACCCAAACAAAACCCACACCAUCCAUGACAGCCACUAUUGCACCCCACAAAGGUGGGAGUCCCUGGGCUCUGUCUACUCAGUGCUACAGCUUCUGGGCUGGAGAUGUGAAACAGAUCCAAAGGUAAAACCAGGGGCCAUGCUUAGCUCCCCAAACGUGGGUCAUGACCCCCGGGCCUUGUCUCAUUUUUAGGAAUAACCAAGUACAACCAACAAAACAAUAUAAAUUAUAUAAGGACUUGAAAGUCAAGGGACUGGCUUCCAAAUGCCUUUGAACAGAGCUGGUUAUUAAGUCACACAGGCACUUUUUAAAAGUGUCUUGGUCAUCUUGUUCUUAUAAAAAGACGACCUUGAAAUUCUGCUGUCUUAACAUCAGCCACCAAUAUCCCAUUGCCUUCCAUGAGGAAC